rnacentral:rRNA from 1 species
AGUGAACGCUGGCGGUAGGCCUAACACAUGCAAGUCGAACGGCAGCACAGUAAGAGCUUGCUCUUACGGGUGGCGAGUGGCGGACGGGUGAGGAAUACAUCGGAAUCUACUUUUUCGUGGGGGAUAACGUAGGGAAACUUACGCUAAUACCGCAUACGACCUACGGGUGAAAGCAGGGGAUCUUCGGACCUUGCGCGAUUGAAUGAGCCGAUGUCGGAUUAGCUAGUUGGCGGGGUAAAGGCCCACCAAGGCGACGAUCCGUAGCUGGUCUGAGAGGAUGAUCAGCCACACUGGAACUGAGACACGGUCCAGACUCCGACGGGAGGCAGCAGUGGGGAAUAUUGGACAAGGGGCGAAAGCCUGAUCCAGCCAUACCGCGUGGGUGAAGAAGGCCUUCGGGUUGUAAAGCCCUUUUGUUGGGAAAGAAAAGAAGCAGGUUAAUACCCCGCUGUUCUGACGGUACCCAAAGAAUAAGCACCGGCUAACUUCGUG